rnacentral:rRNA from 1 species
GUCCACGCUUUAAACGAUGGACACUCGGCAUCUGGCGCCGUUAAGACGGCGCUGGGUGCCCAAGCUAACGCGGAAGUGUCCCGCCUGGGAACUACGAGCGCAAGCUUAAAACUCAAAGGAAUUGACGGGGGCCCCGCACAAGCAGCGGAGCGUGUGGUUUAAUUCGACGCAACGCGCAGAACCUUACCCAGAUUGGACAUGCUACUGCAAGCUCGUGAAAGCGAGCCGCCUUCGAGGGUGUGGCACAGAUGCUGCAUGGCUGUCGU